CUUGAUGCUCUUUUCUAUGCAUUUCACGCGAUUUAUAUGCAAGAUAUAUGCACGAUUUGAUGUGCAAAAUGUAUGUGCGAUUGAUGCGCAAGACGUAUGCGCAAUUCGAUGCGCGAGAUGUAUUGCGCAUUCCUUGUUCAGCCAUGUUGGAAUUCUUUUCGUUCGGUUCAGUUCGGCAUCUGUAGAAUCGAAGGAGAACAAUAACAUUUAUUUGAUUUAUAAUUUUAUAAAAGUUUCAAGAAGUAAGCAGUGAAAAAUGGAUAUUUAAAAAAAAAAUACAUGUAAAAACAAGGUCGCUUUAAUAAAAUCUUUCUUGAUCGCGUUAUAAUCAUAUCGUGUUAUCUACUCGAUUUAUAAUUAAAACGUAACCGUAUCUUAUUAUUUUAUACAAUUUUAUUAAUAGUUAUCGCGAAUGUGUUAAUUGCAAAUAUUUUUAGUAAUUUAUUGUCGUGAAUACUUUUGGUAUUCUUUUCUACGCAAUUCGCGCGUUUUAUGCGCAAGAUAUAUGCGCAAUUCGAUGCGCGAGACGUAUUGCGCAUUCCUUUGUCAGCCAUGUUGGAAUUUUACGUUCUUUUCGUCCAUUUCGGUUCGGUACAUUUAGAAUCAAAUAACGACAUUUGUUUGUGAUUCAUAAUUUCAGAGAAGUUCAUAACUUUCAAAAAGUGAGCAGUGAAAAGUGAUAAACGUCAAGAUCUAAACUUGAAACUCGUUUAUAGACUCCAAUGAGAGUUCCCGCGUAAAUAAUAACGUGAACCACGUUAACUGCGUAGUUAACAGUGUCGUAUUUUCGGUCACAAAUUUCGAGAACGAAUGUGUAUAUUUUAUCUUUAUUUUGGAAAUGCUGACGAUUUUAAACGGAUAUAGGUUAAAUACACUUAAUAUCAUUACACGCGUGAACUACUGGCACAGCAUGUUUGCAAAGAAGAAUCUUCAUCGUGUAAAUAUUUAUCGAAUCGUGAUGAUUUGACAUCUCAUCGAAUGCGGUAAGUUUGUAAUUUCUGUGAAUGCAUGAAUAUUUAUUGAAAACAUUUAAUUAAUGACACGAUUGAGUAACUCGAUUGAUUUCAAUAUUUUCGUUAACGAAAAUAGCUUAUUAUUCAUAUUUUCGUAUAUUAUUAUACAUGGUUAAUCCUAUAAUACGGGAUUUAGUUUCGAGGAAAAUGUAUUUUUAAAAUUUUUGUUUCAAUUUUAUUCAAUACUGUAAAAUGGAAACAUUACAGUAUUAUUACGUCAGUAUUAUUAAAAUUUAUAUUGACUGUGUUAUAUUGACCGUAAGAGCAUUGUUACAAUUUAUGAACUAUGUUUUAUUAAAAUGAUAUUAUGUAAAUACCGUAUUAUAUUAGGAUUACCUCUAUUAUAUGGUACAUUAAAAUUUCAAUCCAUUGAGCUUUUUCGGAAGCUUCUAUUGUGAUUUAUAAAAUUUAACAUAAAUUUAGUCGUCGAAAUAUCGAAUUUUCGCAAGAUUAUCGAUCCAAUUCAUUUCUUUGAUCGUUCGAAAGGUUAAUUUCGUCAUUGGAAAGUGACAGUAAAUCUUAUAACCGAUGAUCAUGUAUACGUCGGCAUAAAGUUCAAGGCAAAGGAAAGCAAGUUUCCUUUUUCCAGAUCUGUGGAAAACGAUUGUAGGAACGUAGUCGCACGUGCUAGAAAUGUCGACUUUCUCAGCUGUUCGCUGUGCCGGGAUAAAGAGAAACUAUUAGCUCGCCCGUGGCGUCGCGACGACCUGGAUUAAUUUAGAAAUUUAAUUAACAAAACCGUAAGCGCUCUUUCCCUCAGUCCCGCACCCCAUUCUUCCUGUUGCCAUUUUGCUCUCACGAUUUUUACACUUUCAUUCGACGGAAUUAAAAAUAAGAUGUUCUCGUCCGGUUUUUAUCGUAAUUAAACAUAUCUCGUGUAUUUCGCUCGAACGCCACGAAAACGCGUUCUAUCGUCGUGAACAUCGUCCGAUACGAAAAAUCCUUUUCGAUACGAUAUAAAAUCAGCCUCGCCUGAGACAUAAAUUUGGUCAACCGAACACAGGUGAUCGCUAACUUAUUUUACGAUUGCCAUAAUAAAAGUGUCGACGAGACGUCUGGACACGGUAGGCGUCUCGAACAUUUCUUGUUUUUCUUUUUUAUUUAUCUACCGUUCGAAUCGAUGCUCCGGGGAAAAAUCAUGUCUGCGCUACGGACGGCACAAUAGAAACAGAAUAUUUAGAUUAAAACGAAAACUCGUUACGUAACUAUACAAACGGGCUCGUGCGGUAAAUCACGUCCACUCGAUUCUCUUUAUCCUGCUGCCAUCCUUCAUGCCUGCUCGCUGGAAAAUCGAACCGAAUAAAAAACUCGGCGCCCUCCUUGAUUCUCCCGAUCUCUCAGUGGAUGCGUUGAUUUAUCGCGGCAAUCUUCGGAAAGCAAACACGAGGAUCGCGAGCAAUGCUCGCAAAUGAGUAAAACGUUUCGCGGCCGCGAGAUCUGUAACGAAGAAUAAUUGAAAUGGCGUGAGAGCCUAGGGUAUGGACUAUAGAUAGGUAUACGCGUCUCUCCUCGAUACUCCUAUACACGCGACGCCGGGGAAUCUCUCGACGUAUAUAUCUGGCGGGGUUACGCUCUUCCUAACGAUUUUUCGAUAUCGGUAAGCGAUGCGUUUUUAUCCGUACCGCGAUGGAAACGUUCGAACGUUGCAGACAAUCUGCCGGAUAACGCUUAACUGUCCCCCACGUAGCUAGAAUAAUCGGCCGAUUUUUAUGUCCUGUUCGUCGUGGCGCUGCGUUCCGGAAUUUAUGAAAACGUUUAUGAAGUAGUAGGGUUGGUUGAGAGAGAGAGAGAGAAAAAAGGGAAAAGGAUAUUCACGACGAGAAUGCGACGUUAUGUUCUAAUCCUUCCAAAUGGGAGGAUCCCGCGACUGACAGAGGUUGCUUUAUUUCGCGUACGAAUUGUUUCUCUACUUUUCGAUUAUCUUCGUGUUUUAUUUUUCGUCACGAUUUUCCUCGUGAUAUAUUUUUUUAUUAUUCGAAUAAUUAAUUGCGUAAUUUUUCCUGAGACAUCCCUCUCAAAUUGUUCGCUUUUACGCUUCACGAAUAAUUUCUCUUCAUAAAAUUCAAGACAACCGAUUGAAAUUCACCUGUGAACCAAUUCACAGUGAAUCAAUCGCGGACUUCACGGCUCUCCUCGCUCAAGGGUGAACGGUCGGUUAUUCACAGCGAUUCACAGCCAAGCGCGUAACACGUUCGCGCGUUGAUCCCCCUUUGAUGCGCUUGAAUCGAUCAACGUUGCGUACGUGAACCGCGUGCAGGUAAAACGCGGCGUGUAACGUUGGACGAAAAUUCCAUAACGGAACGCGAAUAAUCGUGCGCAAAGGAACACGAAUAAUUUUAUAUCCGGCCAGUUUCGUGUCGGGCUAUGGAUAUCGACGGUAAAACCGUAAUAUACAGCCGGAUGAUAUUUUAUUUCAUCGAAAAUUACGUUGAACGUAAUUCUCAGCGUGUCGGACGUUAAUAAUUAUAAAAAAAAUCUCCCUCUCCCUCUUUCUCUCUUUCUCUCUCUCUCUCUCUCUCUCUGGUGAAGAGAAAUGUGCUGCGGCGAGCUCGGUGUCAGCUUCAUUACGGCGGAGUGCUCGUCGGAAGGAUUUAAAUCCGGGGUCGCCUUAAAUCGGGAAGGAUUCUGGACAAAUCAGAUCGUCGUUCACGUCGUUGUCGUCUUCGUCGUCCGUCGUCCUAGUAGUCCUCGUCAUCCGUCUCUCGUUCCUUCCCUUCCGUUUACGCGUCGACGAAGAGGAGGCUUGACAUUAAUAGUCUCGCGGCGGAUAAGCCGUUUUUGAAAUGACGUUCGAAGGGAAUAAUACAUGGAGGGUCACUUCUCGGCCUCGUCUCUCCACCCCAACGGAACGGACGUCCCUUUUCAAAUAACGCAUUCGAAGUCCUUUGCUUUUCGGCAAAGUGGAGGACCCUUCACAGGGACUUCCACCCUUACGCCGACCGUCUCACACUCCGCUGUAUAUCUAUUGGCUUGUGCGCGUGUAGAUGUGGCUAGCCGUGACGUACAGGGUGUUCUGGAAAUAAGAAAUAGUUCGAAUGAUUAAUAACGAUGAUAUCGUUUAUGGCUUUUUCCAUGAAAUAGAAGAAAUUGACCUACUGGAACUUAUCGUAUGAAUAUUCAUAAGUAAUUCUUUUUUUUUACAUUAUUUCGUUUCGAAUAUUCCGAGCAUAGUCUAUUUUUUUUUUUAAUUUAUUUCCACAAUGCACGAUUAAAUUUCCCUAAUGAUUGAAUAUCGAUCACUCGAUUCUGCCCUCUUACAAUUAGCGUAAAAUGAUUGAAUGUUUAAAUUAAUUUUUUUUUUUUUAUAUUAUCCAUUAAGCUUUGAUGCAGUAACGAAAUUAGUUAAUUAUCGAGAGUAAUCACGUGUGCGCGCGGAGAAUAUUCGCGAAGAAUAAUUGAAAUAGAAUUUCGUUCGAACAAUGAAAGCGUCGGUUCAUUUCGCAACUAUUUUAAAAAUUUCAGCCAACAUUAUAAUAGAGUUAUAAAGAGGAACGACAUUAAAUCCAUCUUUGACGCUUUUAAAAAAGCUUUCGUCGGACGCCUGCGAAAAAACACGCCUGUCGAUCAAUAUUUUAAUUAUAAUUUCGGCUUCAAAGGAUGUAUUAAUUGAAUUUUAUCAGUGGAAUUACUUCGUGUGUAAAUAAUUUCUUACAGGCGCGUACGUUCUCUCGUAAUAACAGCGAUUAAUUUGCCCCUUUUAGCUGGAAAUCGCGUUGUUGGAACACCUUGUACAUAAAUAUUGAGGCACACGCGUGUCCGUUUCUCUCUUUUUCGAUCGUCACACUCGCCCAGACAACCCUUCUCUUGCACCACUUCCCUGUCACUCUCGUUCUCGUUUCCCCACUUCUAAACUCUGUCUUCGUUAAUUGCCUCAAUUAAAUCUUUGUUACGAGCGAUUUGAGCCCGGCGAUUUUGGAAGGAGGGAACGGAUACAUGGGUUGUGUAACGGUAUGUGCACUCUUUUUCAAGGAAUUUCGUAAUUUCAAUCAUUUAAUACCAUUUAGAUCACUCUACAGAGUAAUUUAUUUUUCUUCUAUGAUAAGAACCUCUUAGCAAUAGAAGUUUA